AACCUUUACACUGCACGACAGUGCGAUAAGGGAAUCCCAAGUGCGUAGGCAUAGAGCCUACGCUUUUGUCCACCGUAGGGAGGUGGACGAAUAAGGGCUGGGCAAGACCGGUGCCAGCCGCCGCGGUAAUACCGGCAGCCCGAGUGAUGGCCGAUCUUAUUGGGCCUAAAGCGUCCGUAGCUGGCCGCACAAGUCCAUCGGAAAAUCCACCCGCUCAACGGGUGGGCGUCCGGUGGAAACUGUGUGGCUUGGGGCCGGAAGGCGCGACGGGUACGUCCGGGGUAGGAGUGAAAUCCCGUAAUCCUGGACGGACCGCCGAUGGCGAAAGCACGUCGCGAGAACGGAUCCGACAGUGAGGGACGAAAGCUAGGGUCUCGAACCGGAUUAGAUACCCGGGUAGUCCUAGCCGUAAACAAUGCCUGCUAGGUGUGGCUCUCACUACGAGUGGGUGCUGUGCCGUAGGGAAGCCGCUAAGCAGGCCGCCUGGGAAGUACGUCCGCAAGGAUGAAACUUAA
rnacentral:rRNA from 1 species